UCAAACUUGGUCAUUUAGAGGAAGUAAAAGUCGUAACAAGGUUUCCGUAGGUGAACCUUCGGAAGGAUCAUUACCGUAACGCGGCCGCCGUCCGCCUCCUUGGAUUGCCAUGUAGGAGAUUCUCCUGCAUGGCAGUUCCAGGAGGGAGGCAGGCGGCCAACGAAAGCGUUUCUACCACCCUUGAAUUUGAGCACCUUCUUGUUUCCUCGGCGGGGACGCCCGCCAGCGAGGACCACCAAAAACCCUUUUUUUGCAGUAUGCAGUACUUGUCUGAGAAUACAAAACAAAUAAUCAAAACUUUCAACAAUGGAUCUCUUGGUUCUGGCAUCGAUGAAGAACGCAGC
rnacentral:misc_RNA from 1 species